ACCGAAAUAGCUCAGUUAGGUGAGCGUUAGACUAUAGAUCGAAAGGUCCCUGGUUCGAUUCCAGGAUUCGGCA
rnacentral:tRNA from 1 species